rnacentral:rRNA from 1 species
CAAAAACAUCGCCUCCUGCAAAAAUCAAUGUAUAAGAGGUCCUACCUGCCCAGUGACUUAGUUAAACGGCCGCGGUAUUUUGACCGUGCAAAGGUAGCGCAAUCACUUGUUUUUUAAAUAAAGACCUGUAUGAAUGGUGAAACGAGGGCUUAACUGUCUCCCCUCUCUGAUCAGUGAAAUUGAUCUACCCGUGCAGAAGCGGGUAUAAAUAUACAAGACGAGAAGACCCUAUGGAGCUUAAGACAUAAAAUCAACUAUGUUAAAAACCCCUAAUUAAAGGAAUAAAACAAAAUAAUUACUGAUUAACGUCUUCGGUUGGGGCGACCGCGGGGGAAAACAAAUCCCCCAUGUGGAAUGGGAAAUUUCCUAAAACCACGAGGCACACCUCUAAGUCACAGAACUUCUGACCUAAAGAUCCGGUAUUUAACCGAUCAACGAACCAAGUUACCCUAGGGAUAACAGCGCAAUCCCCUCCAAGAGUCCAUAUCGACAAGGGGGUUUACGACCUCGAUGUUGGAUCAGGACAUCCUAAUGGUGCAGCCGCUAUUAAGGGUUCGUUUGUUCAACGAUUAAAGUCCUACGUGAUCUGAG